AUAUAUAUAUAUGUACGUUUAACUUUUUGUUUAUGUGUCUUUAUAUUUUUAUAUUUCUUAUAUUUCCGUAUAAAUUUUUUUUUUUUUUUUUUUAUUUCAAAAAAGUGAAAUCUAUGAAGUGUUAUUUUAUGCAAUCAUGGGUAUGUACACAUACAUAUACAUACAUACACACACAAAAAAAAAAAAAAAAAAAAAAUAUAAUUUGCAAAGGAGGGUUAUAUAUAAAAUGUAUUUGAACAGAUCAUAUAUUUUUUUUUUUUUUUUAUGAAGAAUCCUUAAAAUAUAUAUAUUUGUAAUUUCUUACAAUAUAUAUACUAAGUCAUAUUUGAGGAAGAUCAAAUAAAAAAAAAAAAAAAAAAUAAACAAAAAUAAUAAGAAAAGAACGUUAGUAUAUAAAUAAAUACAUACAUACAUACAAUACUAUAUAAUAAUAAUUUACUGUGUAUAUAUAUAUCUUUUGUUUUAUUUCAUUAUACAUAUAUAUAUAUAUAUAUAUAUAUAUAUAUAUAUAUAUAUUUAUAUAUUUAUAUAUUUAUAAUUUUUUUUUUUUCCUAAAAUGUAAUUAGUGUUUUAUAUCCAUAUAUUAUAAAAAAAAA